rnacentral:lncRNA from 1 species
AUGAAGAAGAAGAAAUGUUCCCCUGAGGUCAAGAAUAUCAACUGGCACCAGGCAGUGCUUCAGAAAACUCCACAUCUGGCAAACAACAGGGGGUACUCUAUAAAUGACCCCAUUGAGGGGUGCAUGGCCCUGACUCUGCCCAAGUCAGGCCUCCUGGGAAAAGUGAAGGCAGAGGCCCUGCGCUCCCUGGCAUGCAAGCAGGGCGGCUCCCCAGGUCCAGAUCUGCAGACCCGUGACCACACAGCAGCCUGGGCAUCAAGUAGGGGCCACCGCAGCCUCCAGCCCAGGCUGGGAGUAGCCCAAGCCCUUGGGGUCUGUCAGCUUCUGCGGAGCCCGGUGGACAGCCUGGAUCACCUCAAACUGGGGUUCUAUAAUUUUUUGUUCUAAUAUAUAUAUAUAUAUAUAUAUAUAUAUAUAUAUAUAUGUAAAAAUCAACACACACAUGGAAAUGAAGGGAAAUUCAGUGCAGUGUCCAUUAGGGAAUUUGUAAGGAGUUGAAUUGCAAAUUGCUUAUGUUUCUUUUAUUUUCCAAUUUUUUAAAUUAAUUCAAAUAUAACUGGUUUAAUUCCAUUUGUGUUAUUUUUAUAUUUAUUUUUUUAAGGUUUCAUUACAUCUUAGACAGUAGUGUCUUCUGUAGCCUUUUCGCACUGAAACACAUUAAGCCAUAAAGAUUAUUAUUUUUUAACUACCUCAUCAUAAGCUUCUUUAAAUGGAAAGGCACAUGUCAGGCAUUUGGAUGUAAUGGGGAGAAAAGAUACUGAGGAAGAAAAGGGAAACCCUCUAAGUGUCACUUCGAUGGUGCAGGUGUCAUGCUAGGCCCUAUCACAGGUGGAUGAGGGGAGAUCAUCACCUCUCCCCCUCCAGCCCUGUGUCAUCAGACCUCCUGCUCCUCACAGGCCAGGGGUGGGACUUGGGAUUUUCCUCCUGCAGUCCGGAGCCUCCCCUUUCUUCUGCUCCAAUACUCUGUUCAAGGGACCAGAUGCUUGAGGGCUGCACAGCCACAUGCCCAGGUUAAAUCUCUCCUGGAGGACACUUAACACUGUCAGCCAACGACAAUCCCCUUAGCCAAGAACCCCAAACAGGCCCCUGGCGGUGUCUUGACCCAAGGUCACCUUCCAAGACUGGAGGAAUCUUUGGGGUCCCACACACCCACCCCAGGCACCCCUCCUCCCUCCACCUCUGUGCUUCUGCAGGGAAUAGGGUACUCAUGUUUGCUGCUGCUUUGACACCUGUGAAGGAAGCACUAAGCAAGCGUCGGCUGGGGUCUCAGAGCACCUAAGUGUCUAGAAGCUUAAAAAGAAGACAGGAGGUCAUGGACGAAGGGCUACCCGCUAACUCAGUGCCAGCCUCUGAGCAUGUGAAUUGUAUAGAUUCUGCCUUAGUUGCAGAGAUAUGUUUUAUAGUUAAUUCUGGAGGAUUUUACAUCAAGAAAAAUGUAUCUUUUGCCUGCUUUAUCUUGAAGUCAUUUUUAUGUAAAAUAAAACACACAAAAGCACAUGAUGCA